GUAUGGACUGACAGCACAGAGACACCGAUGUCAGUCUGUAUGGACUGACAGCACAGAGAUCAACAGUGGUCUGUAUGGACUGACAAAACAGCAUGAUAACACCAACAUUGGUCUGUAUGGACUGACAGCACAGGACCCACAACGUUGGUCUGUACCCACUGAUAGAACACCAUAAUAACACCAACAUCAGUGUGUAUGGACUGACAGCACAGAGACCAACAUUGGUCUGUAUGGACUGAUAGCACAGAGAUCAACAUUGCUCUGUAUGGACUGACAUAACAGCAUAACACCAACAUUGGAGUGUAUGGACUGACUGCACAGGGACCCACAUCGGCCUGUAUGGACUGACAGCACAGAGACCAACAUUGCUCUGUAUGGACUGACUGCACAGAGACAGCAACAUCGGUUUAUAUAGACUGACUGCACAGAGACCCACAUCGGUGUGUACAGACUGAUAGCACAGAGACACCAACGUCAGUCUGUAUUGGUGUGUAUGGACUGACAGCACAGAGACCCACAUUGGUGUGUAUGGACUGACAGCACAGAGAUCAACAGUGGUCUGUAUGGACUGACAGCACAGAGACCCACUUCGGUGUGUAUGGACUGAUAGCACAGAGACACCAAUGUCAGUCUGUAUGGACUGACAGCACAGAGACCAACAUUGUUCUGUAUGGACUGACUGCACAGAGACCCACAUCGGUCUGUAUGGACUGAUGUAACAGCAUGAUAACACCAACAUUGGCCUGUAUGGACUGACAGCACAGAGACACCGAUGUCAGUCUGUAUGGACUGACAGCACAGAGACCAACAGUGGUCUGUAUGGACUGACAUAACAGCAUAACACCAACAUUGGAGUGUAUGGACUGACUGCACAGGGACCCACAUCGGCCUGUAUGGACUGACAGCACAGAGAUCAACAGUGGUCUGUAUGGACUGACUGCACAGAGACCCACAUCGGUCUGUAUGGACUGAUGUAACAGCAUGAUAACACCAACAUUGGCCUGUAUGGACUGACAGCACAGAGACACCGAUGUCAGUCUGUAUGGACUGAUAGCACAGAGACCAACAGUGGUCUGUAUGGACUGACAUAACAGCAUAACACCAACAUUGGAGUGUAUGGACUGACUGCACAGGGACCCACUUCGGCCUGUAUGGACUGACAGCACAGAGA
rnacentral:lncRNA from 1 species